rnacentral:rRNA from 1 species
AUGGGUUCCGAGCAGAAGCCGCAUGUGGUGUUCGUGCCGUUCCCGGCGCACGGCCACGUCGCGCCGCACACGCAGCUCGCGCGCCUCCUCCACGCCCGCGGCUUCCACGUCACGCUCGUCCACACCGAGCUGCACCACCGCCGCCUCGUGCUCGCCAAGGGCGCCGACGCGUCCGCGGCCGCGGCGCCGUGGCUCGGUGUCGAGGUCAUCCCGGACGGGCUGUCGCUGGAGUCCCCGCCGCGGUCGCUGGAGGCGCACCACGAAGCGCUCGAGCAGAACUGCCUCGAGCCGUUCAAGGAGCUGCUGCGCGCGAUGGCGCGCAGGCCCGGCGCGCCGCCCGUGAGCUGCGUCGUGGUGGACGCGCCCAUGUCGUUCGCCUCCACGGCGGCGCGGGACGUUGGCGUCCCCGACGUGGUGUUCUUCACGGCGUCCGCGGCCGAGCUCAUGGGGUACAUGCAGUUCGAGGAGCUGGUGAAGAGGGGCCUCGUCCCGCUGAAGGGAGCCGGGUACAAGACCGACGGCAGUCUCGACGCGGCCGUCGACUGGGUGCCCGGGAUGAAGGGCAUGCGGCUCAGGGACAUGCCGACCUUCUGCCACACGGCGGACGCCGACAGCGCGCUGAUGCGCAUCCACCUCCACCAGAUGCGCGUCGUUGCCGGAUCCAAGGCCGUCGUCAUCAACACGUUCCACGACAUGGAGAAGGACGUCGUGGACGCGCUCGCUGCCUUCCUCCCGCCCGUCUACACCGUCGGCCCUCUCUCCAGAAUCGUAUCGUCGCUCCCGGCGGGAAGCGACGACCUCUCGAGCUCCACGGACACGCCGAGCCUCUUUCAGGAGGACACGGAGUGCAUGGCGUGGCUGGACGGGAAAGAGGCUCGCUCCGUCGUGUACGUGAGCUACGGGAGCCACGCCGCCGCGGGCGCCGACAAGAUAAAGGAGUUUGCGUCCGGGCUGGCGAGGUGCGGCUCUCCCUACUUGUGGGUUCUGCGAUCCGACCUGGCCGCCGGCGUUGAGGUCGGGGAGAACGGGCUCGUCGUGCCUUGGUGCGCCCAGGAGGCGGUCCUUGCCCACCCAGCCGUGGGGCUUUUUGUUACGCACUGUGGGUGGAACUCCAUCUUGGAGACCGUGAUCGGCGGGGUGCCGGUGCUCGGUUGGCCGAUGAUAUCCGAGCAGACGACAAACUGCCGGCAGGUAAGCACGGCGUGGAACAUCGGAGCGGAGCUGCCGCAGGAGGCGAGGGACGAUGAAAUAGCUGCACUGGUGAGGGAGAUGAUGGUCGGGAGGAAGGGGAUGGAGGCGAGGGAGAAGACGUUGGAGUGGAAGAGGCUGGCUGAAGAUGCUACCAAAGAAGGGGGCUCGUCCUGUGCUAACCUUGAUAGGUUCGUUGAGGAUGUGCUGCUCAAGGGGUUAUGA